UUCCCACACCGGGAAUCGAACCCGGGCCUCCUGGGUGAGAGCCAGGUAUCCUAACCACUAGACCAUGUGGGA
rnacentral:tRNA from 13 species